CUAGCAUAUCAAUAAGCGGAGGAAAAGAAACCAACAGGGAUUGCCCCAGUAACGGCGAGUGAAGCGGCAACAGCUCAAAUUUGAAAUCUGGCCUUCCGGCCCGAGUUGUAAUUUGCAGAGGAUGCUUUUGGUGAGGCACCUUCCGAGUCCCCUGGAAUGGGGCGCCAUAGAGGGUGAGAGCCCCGUAUGGUAGGACGCCGAACCUCUGUAAAGCUCCUUCGACGAGUCGAGUAGUUUGGGAAUGCUGCUCUAAAUGGGAGGUAAAUUUCUUCUAAAGCUAAAUACCGGCCAGAGACCGAUAGCGCACAAGUAGAGUGAUCGAAAGAUGAAAAGCACUUUGAAAAGAGGGUUAAAAAGUACGUGAAAUUGUUGAAAGGGAAGCGCUUGUGACCAGACUUGCGCCGGGCGGAUCAUCCAGCGUUCUCGCUGGUGCACUCCGCCCGGUUCAGGCCAGCAUCGGUUUUCGCCGGGGGACAAAGGCUUCGGGAACGUGGCUCCUUUCGGGGAGUGUUAUAGCCCGUUGCGUAAUACCCCGGCGGGGACCGAGGACCGCGCUUCGGCAAGGAUGCUGGCGUAAUGGUCAUCAGCGACCCGUCUUGAAACACGGACCAAGGAGUCAAGCAUUAGUGCGAGUGUUUGGGUGUAAAACCCGCACGCGUAAUGAAAGUGAACGUAGGUGAGAGCUUCGGCGCAUCAUCGACCGAUCCUGAUGUUUUCGGAAGGAUUUGAGUAGGAGCAUUAACGCUUGGACCCGAAAGAUGGUGAACUAUGCUUGAAUAGGGUGAAGCCAGAGGAAACUCUGGUGGAGGCUCGCAGCGGUUCUGACGUGCAAAUCGAUCGUCAAAUUUGAGUAUAGGGGCGAAAGACUAAUCGAACC
rnacentral:rRNA from 1 species